rnacentral:rRNA from 1 species
CGCGUAGGCGGCCUGAUCAGUCGGAUGUGAAAGCCCUGGGCUUAACCUGGGAAUUGCAUUCGAUACUGUCAGGCUAGAGUAUGGGAGAGGGAAGUGGAAUUUCCGGUGUAGCGGUGAAAUGCGUAGAUAUCGGAAGGAACACCAGUGGCGAAGGCGACUUCCUGGCCCAAUACUGACGCUCAGGUGCGAAAGCGUGGGUAGCGAACA